UCCAUGGUUCGGUUUUCAAUGGUUUCUUUAAACAGCCCAAAAUAUACACGUUAAAUAACUCUAUUUGACGCGUCAAAUAACAAUAUGUAAACUAUAUGCAAAUGUUGGCCAAUCACUAUAUGAAAAACUUCUCAUUCAUCAUCACCAACAAACGAAGUCAUGUCGAACCUUGAAAACAUGAGAGAUCGCUUUUAAAGUUUUGCCAGCCAAGUGCAACCAUCCCAGGAGGAUCGGGUGGUUCAAAGGUAGGAUUCAUUCUGGUAGGUUAAGUAAUACCUGGCAAAAGUCAACAUUAACCGGCACAACUACCUAGUAACGUUAGCUUGCUAAUGAUUGCAACAGCUACCGUGGGAUGCGCGAGUAUGUCAGAUUUCAAUCGUUUCAGGAGACCGAAUAAUGCUGGAGUCCAAAGGCGGCAAACCGGGAGAAGCAGGUUGAUAACUAUGAGGGUUUGCCUGUUCGCUGACGCUAACAUCCGGCAGCUGAACAGGAUAGGUACAUUUGGCCUAUAUCCAUGUAGUACAUGAGGACACAGUGCGAUGCACAGUGCUUGCUUUGUAAGUAAGCUAGGUGUGAAACUAUCUUGUGAUUCAACAUACUUAUUGUAGGUUAUUUUAUUUAUUUUAAAGAUCAUGGCCUAUUUCCCUGUUUUAUAUUAGGAUACUUUUUUUAUUAAGAUUUAAAUGUUUCCAUAUCUCAGUAUCUUUAGAGUAUCCUGUGAGGCAGAUCAAAGUGCCCUAUGGCCAGGAGGAAAGCAGCUUCUUGAAGGUUUUGGUGGAAACAUUCCCCCAGAUUAAUUCAAAUGUAGAGGCUUUUAAGACAGACAGAAGGAGGCUCCUUCCCCAACGAAAAAAAAGGAUUGUUGUCAAGACAAUGGAGGACAGAGAUGGUGUGGUUGUUUUGGUGGCUCAACAAUUUGUCCAAGGGAGCAUGCAGGUGGCCUUGGAGCAGUUCAAAUAUCGUCUCAACUCUCUUGAGCUGCCCGAAGCAUUGGGGAACCACCAGGACAGCUUCUGAGCAUUUUUUGUGGACUCCAUAAAGCCUCCCACUGCCAGGGACCUGUUUUAAAGUAACCUAUUCCAUACCUGGCGGCAACCGGCGGUGUUUGGCGAAUGACACCUUCUGCCAUUGGUUCAACUGGCUGGCUGAGGUGCAAGAUGAAGAAUGUCCUUUAACAGUGGCGAUGGUGUUUGCUACUGGGGCAACGGUGGUGACACCCCUUGGGUUUGAGGACACCACGACCAUCGAAUUCCUCCACACAGCACGAGGGCAUCUUGCUGGGCAGCAGAAGAAAACGUACCCAGAGGCAAACACGUGUGCUGUGAGACUAAGGUUCCCUCUUCAUAGCACCUACAAUGCCUUUAGGGAAUUCAUGAUCUCCGGAAUUGUGAAUUCCCCACAUUUCAGUGUUGCAUAAAAACAUUUUUACGAUACAUAAUUGUAUCUAGUAGCACUAAAUUACAGUAGCAAUUGAGUGUUUGAAAAUGUAACUGCACAUCAAUAUUUAAGCAUUUAUCUGUAUUGUUUGUACAGUGCAUUCGGAACGUAUUCAGACCCCUUGACUUUUUCCACAUUUUAUUACGUUACAGCCUUAUUCAAAAAUGGAUACAAUAAUUUCCCCCCCUCAUCAAUCUACACACAA